rnacentral:rRNA from 1 species
GAUUGAACGCUGGCGGCAGGCCUAACACAUGCAAGUCGAACGGUAACAGGAAGAAGCUUGCUUCUUUGCUGACGAGUGGCGGACGGGUGAGUAAUGUCUGGGAAACUGCCUGAUGGAGGGGGAUAACUACUGGAAACGGUAGCUAAUACCGCAUAACGUCGCAAGACCAAAGAGGGGGACCUUCGGGCCUCUUGCCAUCGGAUGUGCCCAGAUGGGAUUAGCUAGUAGGUGGGGUAACGGCUCACCUAGGCGACGAUCCCUAGCUGGUCUGAGAGGAUGACCAGCCACACUGGAACUGAGACACGGUCCAGACUCCUAUGGGAGGCAGCAGUGGGGAAUAUUGCACAAUGGGCGCAAGCCUGAUGCAGCCAUGCCGCGUGUAUGAAGAAGGCCUUCGGGUUGUAAAGUACUUUCAGCGGGGAGGAAGGGAGUAAAGUUAAUACCUUUGCUCAUUGACGUUACCCGCAGAAGAAGCACCGGCUAACUCCGUG